UGCAAGUCGAACGGGAAUCUUCGGAUUCUAGUGGCGGACGGGUGAGUAACGCGUAAGAAUCUAACUUCAGGACGGGGACAACAGUUGGAAACGACUGCUAAUACCCGAUGUGCCGCAAGGUGAAACCUAAUUGGCCUGAAGAAGAGCUUGCGUCUGAUUAGCUAGUUGGUGGGGUAAAGGCCUACCAAGGCGACGAUCAGUAGCUGGUCUGAGAGGAUGAGCAGCCACACUGGGACUGAGACACGGCCCAGACUCCUACGGGAGGCAGCAGUGGGGAAUUUUCCGCAAUGGGCGAAAGCCUGACGGAGCAACGCCGCGUGAGGGAGGAAGGCCUUUGGAUUGUAAACCUCUUUUCUCAAGGAAGAAGUUCUGACGGUACUUGGAGAAUCAGCCCUCGGCUAACUCCGUGCCAGCAAGCCGGGGUAAUACGGGGGGAGGCAAGCGUU
rnacentral:rRNA from 1 species